rnacentral:rRNA from 1 species
UGAGUAAUGCGUAGGAAUCUACCUAGUAGUAUGGAAUAGCCAUUAGAAAUGAUGGGUAAUACUGUAUAAUCCCUGCGGGGGAAAGAUUUAUCGCUAUUAGAUGAGCCUACGUUAGAUUAGCUAGUUGGUAAGGUAAUGGCUUACCAAGGCUAUGAUCUAUAGCUGGUCUGAGAGGACGAUCAGCCACACUGGAACUGAGAUACGGUCCAGACUCCUACGGGAGGCAGCAGUGGGGAAUAUUGGACAAUGGGCGAAAGCCUGAUCCAGCUAUGCCGCGUGAGUGAAGAAGGCCUUCGGGUUGUAAAGCUCUUUCAAUAGGGAAGAUAAUGACGGUACCUAUA